rnacentral:rRNA from 1 species
GUAUGGCCAUACCACCCUGAACCUGACCAAUUUCGUCUGAUCUCGGAAGCUAAGCAGGUUCAGGCCUGGUUAGUACUUGGAUGGGUGACCACCUGGGGAUACCAGGUACUGUAAGCU